CACGUAGGGUGCGAGCGUUGUCCGGAAUUAUUGGGCGUAAAGAGCUCGUAGGCGGUGUGUCGCGUCGGCCGUGAAAACCUGCAGCUUAACUGUGGGCUUGCGGUCGAUACGGGCAUCACUGGAGUUCGGCAGGGGAGACUGGAAUUCCUGGUGUAGCGGUGAAAUGCGCAGAUAUCAGGAGGAACACCAGCGGCGAAGGCGGCGCUCUGGGCCGGAACUGACGCUGAGGAGCGAAAGCGUGGGUAGCAAACAGG
rnacentral:rRNA from 1 species